UACGUAGGGUGCGAGCGUUAAUCGGAAUUACUGGGCGUAAAGGGCUCGUAGGCGGCCAACUAAGUCAGACGUGAAAUCCCCAGGCUCAACCUGGGAACUGCGUCUGAUACUGGAUGGCUUGAAUCCGGGAGAGGGAUGCAGAAUUCCAGGUGUAGCGGUGAAAUGCGUAGAUAUCUGGAGGAAUACCGGUGGCGAAGGCGGCAUCCUGGACCGGCAUUGACGCUGAGGAGCGAAAGCUAGGGGAGCAAACGGG
rnacentral:rRNA from 1 species